ensembl:lncRNA
GUAAGAAAUAAAUUAUUUACUAUUCCCUUCCUCCUUUUUUUUUUUUUUUUCCUUUUUCCCUUUUUUUUUCCCUUGUGGUUUUUGCCUGGUCUUUCUCAAAUCUUUUUUUAUUUUUAUUUUCUAAUGAUCCAGCAGGUUGAAUCCUGAACCUGCAGCCAUCCGAUUGACCACCAUCAGUCAUUUGCAGGCUCUCAGCACUUUGGCCCCACAUAUGUACUCUCCUCCUGCUGUUCAGAAAGCCCUGCCCAGCUGCACACCUCGUUAUGCCCUGUGGCUGGGCUAUUUUAGGAAAACUUCCUCUAAAGAAAUAACAAAAUCAACAGGCUCUAACUAUUCUACCCAUGGGGCUGAGAAAGUAAAGGCUAAGUGCUAGAAAGCAUAGGUUCCAGGGGUUGUGGUACUCAUUAAGAGUGAGGCCUCAUGCCCCAGUCUUCAUUCAAUUUCAGAGGACUGUGCUGCACACUAAGCGAAUGACUCCCUACUAUCUUAAACAAAAUGAAGAGUGGCUGAGCACACUGUGGUAUUCUGGACAUAAUAAAAAGGGGAAGGAACUGUGCUUUAUCUACAGUAACCAUUCUCACAUUGCAGAGUAGAAACUCCUCCUCAUCUCAGCACAAAGAGCAGGUAAGGAGAGCAUCCUUUUCCAACCAGGAAGUUCUGAAGCCAAAAGUGAGUCACACGCCAAGCACAACUCACGCCUUGCAAGACAUCAACAGGCAGCCAUAUCCUCACCUUCUGACUGUGCUGGGUGUUUGAAGAUGAACGGAAUAGAAAAGUGUCUUCAGACCAUGGUAAUGCAGGCCCGAGUAAUUCUGUAAGAUGGAGUUAUAAAGUAGCAAAGGAAACAGGACUGCGGGAAGUAGGAUAAAUAAAUCAUGAAUUAACCGAGUGUGGUAGGGACAAAGCUUUUACUGUGAAAAACUAUGCUUUUUGUUUCACUUAGACAUCCCUGACUGUCAGUAAAACCGCAGCUGAAAGAGAAGUCAGAGCUUUCUGAAGCCCUGCGCAGGGCACACGUUGCUGCAGGCACCCACCGCUCUGGGGCUGCCUUUCCUGGCAGCAGCUGGCUGCAGGCACAGGCAGUGCCAGCCCCUGCCAAGCUCACUGGGCCGCAAGGGUGGUAAAACAGCUGCCAGAGUAUUGCCUAAUGUUGUCUGGAAAGGUAGACUCACCACAGC